rnacentral:rRNA from 1 species
GGAGGAAAGCAGGGGAUCGUAAGACCUUGUGCUUUUUGAGCGGCCGAUGYCUGAUUAGCUAUGUUGGUGAGGUAAUGGCUUCACCAAGGCGACGAUCAGUAGCUGGUCUGAGAGGACGACCAGCCACACUGGGACUGAGACACGGCCCAGACUCCUACGGGAGGCAGCAGUGGGGAAUUUUGGACAAUGGGCGAAAGCCUGAUCCAGCCAUGCCGCGUGAGUGAAGAAGGCCUUCGGGUUGUAAAGCUCUUUCGGUCGGGAAGAAAUAGUUGCAGUUAAUAUCUGCAAUAAAUGACGGUACCGACAUAAGAAGCACCGGCUAACUACGUGCCAGCAGCCGCGGUAAUACGUAGGGUGCAAGCGUUAAUCGGAAUUAUUGGGCGUAAAGGGUGCGCAGGGCUGGUUAUAUAAGUCAGAWGUGAAAUCCCUGGGCUUAACCUAGGAAUUGCGUUUGAAACUACAAAGCUAGA